AUCCCUGUAGUGCUCUUGACACCAUUUGGUUCAAUACCUUAAAGUCUCAUUUUUCAUUGCAGGGAACAGCUUUCACCUCAGGAAGGGAAAAGGCAAAGAGCUGAUAAGAGCCUCACUGGGACAGUGAAAAAUGAGUCUCAUCUUUUCCUGAAAAAACUUCAUUUACAAAAGAAGCAUCAGCUGCUGAGGCACAGGAGGGCUCCUGUCUGCUCCCUGCACAGCUCAGCGCCAUCCUGCCAGCACCACUGCUCUCAUGGCCAGCUGUGAGUGCAGCAGGGACACCUGAGAGAGGCACAAGGGCACAAGGGCUGCAGUCUGGAGUUCUUGGUUGGAGGCAUUUGCUGCUGCAGUUAUUCAGAUCUGGACUCCUGCCACAGGGGCAGGCCCCUCUUUAUCUGCUUCUCAGGAUGCUGCAGACUUUUGCUUCACCCCACCUCAACCUUGCAGGAAACAAGAAACCAACAUGAAAAUGCAGUUGUGAUGGGAACAGUGGGCAACCCAAGGGAGAGACAAAGCAGCUGGGAUGCCUGUGCAGCCCUGCUCCAGGGAGGCCAAUAGCCUGGAGGCUCUGGCAGGGCCUGGAGAUUGGGAGAAUUGAGCUCAGGCAUCCAGCUCCAGCUUCUUAGCACAGACACAGCACCUGAAAGGCACCAGGAAGGUAUGAGCCUCUUUUGGAAUGGAGGAUAUGACCCUCCCCCCCACUGAUUAUAACUUUGAAAUUAAGGGGCUUUCAGGCAAAGCCUGAAAAGGAAUAACAGCUCUUUACCAGUGUGUGUAUGUACAACAAGGCAAACAACAACAAUGGUCACAACAAUAACAAUAGAACAUAAACUCAAUAAGCAGUCUCUUCCUGCUUUUUGAUCAAUUUUCCGUUUGGUGCAGUUCCGGGCACAGCCGGCAGGGGCGCUGCUGGCCCCCGGCUGCGUGGGGAGGGUGUGCUGGUUCCCCUGUGCCUGCAGGGGGCGCUGUGGCACCAGCUCAGCCGGCUCCCUCUCACAGGGACAAUGGCGGAUGGGGAAGGAGCUUCCUUCACGAACCCCCAGGGCAGCCGGUUCUGGUGCCCCCUCUGGACAGCAAAAGGAACUGUAGCAGGAAACCUCAGGAGAAGCCAGCUGGAACAGCAGGACCUCCCAGCAGGCAAAAAGUGAAAAGCUACAGCGUAGCAUAAACCUGAAGCAGUGGUGGAGGUAGGGUGGGGUGAGGCAGCAGCAGGCUCCUGAAGGCUGUAGGGAAAAAGCACUUCGGGAUUUACUCACUGGCUCUGGCUGGUCCUUGAGAUCAGGGUUGUGCAGAGGUGGCCCCAGGUCCUCAUGGAGCACAUACUCGCUCUGGGCUUCCCAACAGCAUAGCAGCAAAAAAGCCUCAGCACUAACUGGCUUUAACAUGACAACAUCUUUUCCUCCUCAUUUAGAAGAAUGCAAUUAGAAAAGUUAAACUGGAAAAAGGUGCUCCUUAGAACUGUCAGGAAAAUUAAUCCACGAACACCAGAGGUUCAUGUCCAAAAAGGAGACAGAGGAGUCCUUUUUCUUUAUUCGAAUAAAGGGAGAGGCCAUGAGACAUUCCCCUGGGGUCUCUCAAAUUUUUGGAGGGUGCAGCCUCCUUUUCAUCCUAAUAUCCCGACCACAUUUCCCUCUCUCUCUCCCCAUAGCCUGAGGUACUUGAGAGGUACAGACUUCCCGGAACGCCUGAUACCUGCGAUACCUUCCCCACGCCACAAUGCAUAAUCCCUUCUUAAUUCUUAACUUUUAUGGAAUUCAUAGUGUUAUUUCAGUGCCUCUUUCGUCUUUUAGUGGAAUCCAUCCCAUUGUUUCUGUUGUCUCUCACUGAUAGCUGCAUCUUAUCAGCAGACCCACAGCUUGUUUGUAAAGACAAACCCGUCAUUCCUCUCAGAACUGGUAACACAAGGUACAAACAUAGCUAGGAAAUGACCCUUUGUGGCAUCUGCCAUUCUCACCAGCACAUCCUUCCUUUUCUUCUCAUGUCUCUAAUUUCAUCUGCAAAGAGUGAUGAAGUCCCUUCCUUCAGGGCUGUUCCUUGAGAGGUUUUCUGGUGUACUGCCCUCCACUGCAGGAGGGAAGUGAAAGAAGGGGGAAAGCAAAGUAAAGUAAACUGAUGUUCAUCCCGAAGAGACAACAGCAUUGUCUUCUCUGCCUGCUGUGGUUUGCCAGGCCCUAAACCUCCAAGAGCUCCCGAAACUUACAGAAAUGAAGGAAACUUCCAGGCAGAGAAAAAAGCAGGAAUGGCAGGGGCAAGGUUCAGAGGAAUAGCAAAGAGUGUUUGCUCUUGGCCUUGUGCAGAGUGAACAAUCCAAGAGAGACAAAGUAGCUGGGAUGCCUGUGCAGCCCUGCUCCAGAGAGGCCAAUAGCCUGGAGGCUCUGGCAGGGCCUGGAGCUGGAGAGAAUUUGCCUCAGGCAUCCAGCUUCAGCUGCUUAGCACAGACACAGCACUUGAAAGGCACCAGCUGUGUAUGGGAUCAGCCACAGCAGAGCCAGAUGGCACCGCCAGCCACGGCAUCAUUCUCGAGAAAAAGCUUUCACAGGCACUUGGACGGAUAAAUUUCCUGCUGAUUCUUUUUCCUAUCUGCAUCUCUGGGCACUUUUCCUCUGCAUGGAAUCAGAGAUCCCUGCUGGUGAGACGGGAUGGGGCAAUGGGUGGGAGAGGAGAAGCUGUACCUAAACAACUUUUUCCAACCAUAUCUGUAGCUCCUCCUUGCAAGCCCUGAGAUGGUCCAUCUGUGCCUGUGUCUUCCUGAGCUCCAGCUCCAAGGCCUUAAACUGUGUGGCCAUGGCCUCAACUCUUUCCUCAGAGCUGUGGAGCCUCAAAUGCAGCUGGGACACCUCAGCCGUCAGCAGAUGCACAGAGUCCCUCAAGCACCAUUCUCCAGGUCAGGACUUCUUCAGCUCCAGCACUGUUAACACACCCACCUAACCCAACAACACAACACUCCCUAGAGGGAGAGAGCUACCCCAAAAGCCUUUGUCUUCAGAAAAACUCUAAUUGAAGGCUUAAAAGAAAAAAGAAACAAACACAACAAUCCAGAUAAUGAGAUGUGCCUGCACACAGAGUUCAAAAUCUGACACUUAGGAAAUGCUGCCAGAGCCCCAGGCAGGUGCAAAAAUGGCAAAGAGGGAAUGCACUCACCACAAUGCAGAGUCCCAAAGGCUUUCAUUUACCUGUCCUUUUCCUUCUCUAGGACAUUCAUGGAAGCCUGAAAUUCUGCAUUUUGCUGUGCCAUUUCUUCUCAUUGAUUCCAAUCCCUCUCCAGAAUCUGUAGGUGCACUUGCAGCUUUUGUUCUACCUUCUCCAGCAUCUUCUGUCUGUGUUCAACCUCCAACAUCUUCUGCCUUGACUCUUCGUGGGCCUCACUCACAUCUUGCUGGGCUCUCUGGACAGUGCUUUCCAGGAACUCUCGGGAGGCUGCCAGCUGAGAUGUCAACUCUUCCACCUCCAGUCAAACAGAACAAAGCAGUCAGAGGUGACAGCCACAGCCUGCCACUGUCAGCCACAGCAGAGGCCGUGAGGAAAGGGAAAGGACAACUUUCCAUUUCUCCCUGCCCUUAGAGGACUCAAUUCACAAAGGGUAUGGAAAACUUGUUUCAAAACUCAAGUUGCUCACUAAGGGCAUCAGAAAAAGCACCUCCCAAAUCAAGGCUGACUGAAGAGGCCAGCAGAAAUUAAUGCUGAUGGUUGUCCCGGUUGUCUGCUUCACUGCCUGGGGAGAUGGGGAGAACAAACCAGUGCAGACUGGGGCAGCUGGGGAAAAUUCAGAGUCACGAAGAGCCACUGGGAGCGAGGCAGGGGAGGGGCGGCAGUGACCGGCGAGGGGGGGCCGGGGAGAAGUUCCCGCCUCAGCCGAACCCCUCUCAGUGAUUGACAAUGGGGGGGGGCGGCGGCUCCCGCCCAAACCGCGGGCAGGGAAAAGUGCCCUCAGCCCCAAAUAAGCCAUUAACAAUAAUACCAGCCAUCAACUUGGCAACUUUACAUCAUAAUCAGACAUAAUUAACAUUUAUCUUUUGUAACUUUUGUAGCCCAUAACAUCAACCCCAAUUAACACUUAAAUAAUAGCUUUAAUUAAUCUCCCAGACUUAAUAAAGAUUACUUAUAACA